AAGGUUUCCGUAGGUGAACUGCGGAAGGAUCAUUGUCGAU
rnacentral:rRNA from 1 species